rnacentral:rRNA from 1 species
GUGGGGAAUCUUCCGCAAUGGACGAAAGUCUGACGGAGCGACGCCGCGUGAGUGAAGAAGGCCUUCGGGUCGUAAAGCUCUGUCAUCAGGGACGAACGGCCGGUGGAGUGGAAAGCCACCGGAUUGACGGUACCUGAGAAGGAAGCCACGGCUAACUACGUGCCAGCAGCCGCGGUAAUACGUAGGUGGCAAGCGUUGUCCGGAAUUAUUGGGCGUAAAGCGCGCGCAGGUGGGAUAUUAAGUCCAUUUUGAAAGUUCGGAGCUCAACUCCGUGAUGGGAUGGAAACUGGGAUUCUUGAGUACCGGAGAGGAAAGCGGAAUUCCCCGUGUAGCGGUGAAAUGCGUAGAUAUGGGGAGGAACACCAGUGGCGAAGGCGGCUUUCUGGACGGUGUCUGACACUGAGGCGCGAAAGCUAGGGGAGCGAACGGGAUUAGAUACCCUAGUAGUCC